rnacentral:rRNA from 1 species
UACGAAGGGGGCUAGCGUUGCUCGGAAUCACUGGGCGUAAAGCGCACGUAGGCGGACUCUUAAGUCGGGGGUGAAAUCCUGGAGCUCAACUCCAGAACUGCCUUCGAUACUGGGAGUCUUGAGUUCGGGAGAGGUGAGUGGAACUGCGAGUGUAGAGGUGAAAUUCGUAGAUAUUCGCAAGAACCCCAGUGGGGAAGGCGGCUCCCUGGGCCGAUACUGACGCUGAGGUGCGAAAGCGUGGGGAGCAAACAGG